rnacentral:rRNA from 1 species
UACGUAGGGGGGCUAGCGUUGUCCGGAAUCAUUUGGGCGUAAAGCGCGUGUAGGCGGCCCGGUAAGUCCGCUGUGAAAGUCGGGGGCUCAACCCUCGGAAGCCGGUGGAUACUGUCGGGCUCGAGUACGGAAGAGGCGAGUGGAAUUCCUGGUGUAGCGGUGAAAUGCGCAGAUAUCAGGAGGAACACCUAUUGCGAAGGCAGCUCGCUGGGACGUAACUGACGCUGAGACGCGAAAGCGUGGGGAGCAAACAGG